CUGAAACCCAAUCUGAGCACAGUGCAGACUAAAUAAAAUUUCAUUUUGAUUUGGCCUCCCGCUGAGAAUGGGACUGCUUUGUUUCAGCCGACAGAACAAGGAAGCCAGAAAGAUAGCCACCCCAAUCAGCUAAGACAGUAUGGAUACUCGCAGAAUCACAUUCUGAUUAUGGAGCUGCAGCCUGCAGGUACCCCUGGGAGUAACAUUAGGUGAUGGCAUAUUGUUGCUAUCAGAAACAUGGAGUGUGAGAUGACUACUCCCGAAAUACUGGAUCAUAACUACGCCUGAUUUCCACAUUCACCAGGCACAGAUCAGAGCCAUUCCUGCAAAUGGUUCCAUGACUCAGGAACUGACAACAGCAACUUCCAAAGGAACAAAGGAAAAGAAUGACAAUCCGGAGUGUGAGCAGGUCAUGUCUAGCUUAAAGGCAGAGGACCCUAAGACCUUGAAGCGAUACUUCCAGAUUCAAGUCUACGCAGUCUCGCAAUCACCUAGGUGCAGUCCUUUCCACUAUGGUUUUCCCAGAAAUUCUUCCUUCGGUCAUGAGACGACAGGAAAAAAUGGAUUGUCACACUGGACUAUUACAAAAAUUUACUCCUGUGAGGAGGAUAAGUCCUGUGGGUGACUCAAGCUUCCCUGUUACAGCAUGCAAAUAUAAUAUUGUGCCACACACACCAUGGCUGAGCUUUCCUUAAACAAAACGCAACACCUAUUUGAAGCAAAACUGACACAGGGAGAAUGUUUGGUCUUUCAGCCCACAAAUUUCACUCGGAGCUAUACAUGCAGAAGAGGGGGUAAAACAGCCCUGUGGAAUAGUCACUGAAGAUUAAUGGCAUGUGAAGAAAAAUGAUACUGAGCAGGCGGAACAAAGUAUGAACCACCCACGCAAAUAAAGUUGGACAAGGGCUCAUUUUUUAAAAAGCAGCCCAAACAGCAGGAUGGCUAGGGGGGUAGGAAUAAACCUGGGUCGUUUUAGGGUAAUUUUGCAUAUCUCAGGCCUUUCUGGAAACAUGAAAAGAAGCCAAACAGAGACUGUUGGUGUGGGUGUUUUCACACUCUUUUUCUGGGGUCCAACUGGUAAGUAGGAUUUAACACUUCAUUCCUCUACUUUUAUUUGGAAAAAUGAGGAAUUUGCACCAUCAAAGGAAAUGUUCAGUCUCCGGUAUUGUACAUAUAAUACACCUUUUCUCAGAAUACAUAGGUAUAGGCACAGAAUCAUACAUACAUAAAAACACACACACAUGCACACACAUAUAUAGUGCAGUCCAUCCUCUAUUUUUAGAGCAUAAUGGAAAUAUACUGAUUCCAAGCUGUUCUUUUCUCGGGAUAAAUGCAGACUAGAAAAGAAGCAGAUGUUUCCCAUGAGGUAAGUUGAGCAUCACCUCAGGGGCGCUGGUGGGUUAGAGGCAAUAUAUAAAUAUUUUCAGUAAAUAAAUAAUAAAUAAUUGUUCACCAGUUUCGAUA